rnacentral:rRNA from 1 species
GACGAACGCUGGCGGCGUGCUUAACACAUGCAAGUCGAACGGAAAGGCCUCUUUCGGGGGGUACUCGAGUGGCGAACGGGUGAGUAACACGUGAGUAACCUGCCCUUGACUUUGGGAUAACUUCAGGAAACUGGGGCUAAUACCGGAUAGGAGCUCCUGCUGCAUGGUGGGGGUUGGAAAGUUUCGGCGGUUGGGGAUGGACUCGCGGCUUAUCAGCUUGUUGGGGGGGUAGUGGCUUACCAAGGCUUUGCCGGGUAGCCGGCCUGAGGGGGUGACCGGCAGUAGUGGGUAGGAACGGCGGCCGAGGUACCUACGGGGGCGAGAGGGGGGGAAGAUGGCAGGAGGGGCGGAGGCCUAAUGCAGCAGCGCCUGGGGUGGGAUGACGUCGUUCGUGUGGUAAACCGCUUUCGUCAGUCACGAUGCUUUUCGGGACGGUGGUGAGUAAGAAAGCCCCGGCAAACUACGUG